UACGUAGGGUGCAAGCGUUGUCCGGAAUUAUUGGGCGUAAAGAGCUCGUAGGCGGUCUGUCGCGUCGGCUGUGAAAUCCCGAGGCUCAACCUCGGGUCUGCAGUCGAUACGGGCAAACUAGAGUAUUGCAGGGGAGACUGGAAUUCCUGGUGUAGCGGUGAAAUGCGCAGAUAUCAGGAGGAACACCCGUGGCGAAGGCGGCUCUCUGGGACGGUACUGACGCUGAGACGCGAAAGCGUGGGGAGCGAACAGG
rnacentral:rRNA from 1 species